AUUGAACGCUGGCGGCAGGCUUAACACAUGCAAGUCGAGCGGGGUGAUGGUGCUUGCACUAUCACUUAGCGGCGGACGGGUGAGUAAUGCUUAGGAAUCUGCCUAUUAGUGGGGGACAACAUCUCGAAAGGGAUGCUAAUACCGCAUACGUCCUACGGGAGAAAGCAGGGGAUCACUUGUGACCUUGCGCUAAUAGAUGAGCCUAAGUCGGAUUAGCUAGUUGGUGGGGUAAAGGCCUACCAAGGGGACGAUCUGUAGCGGGUCUGAGAGGAUGAUCCGACACACUGGGACUGAGACACGGCCGAGACUGCGACGGGAGGCAGCAGUGCGAAAUAUUGGACAAGGGGCGGAAGCCUGAUCCAGCCAUGCCGCGUGUGUGAAGAAGGCCUUUUGGUUAUAAAGCAGUUUAAGCGAGGAGGAGAUUCUUUUGGUUAAUACCCAAGAAGAGUGGACGUUACACGCAGAAUAAGCACCGGCUAACUCUGUGCCAGCCGCCGCCGUAA
rnacentral:rRNA from 1 species